AGUCAUAACUCAUAACCCUGGUAGAAAUGUUUGAGGUGUUUAAAAUGAAAUGUGAAAACCUUCAUAACAGAUAAAAUAUAUGUAAUAUAUAACUAGCAAGAAAUUUUAGUAAAAAUUAAUCAUUACCAAGAGUGUGUAGUAUUACAACAUGUGUAUUGAAAAGUGGCACCCUAACCCUAUUUGAAGUAGUAAUAAAGUGUGUGAAUAUUAUUUAGUUUUUUUUUUAAAUGUCAGUGAGAAGUUCAAUUAAAAGAAUAAAGAGUUUGAAGAUAUACUGUGUCUCUGUGCCCAAAGUCGCCCUCGAAUAUUAGCAGACAUUAGUGUGUGCCGCCCAACACUUAUGGUAGAUUUUCUACCAAUGUUAUUAGACAGAGAUACGCAAUCAAGAGCGCGCGAAGCGCGCCUUCAUUCCUACUAAUAUAUAAUAAGCGAUGUGCCUCGCGUGCUCAAAUAUUUUAUAAGUUAUGUUAGCGACAAUCGAGAACUGGUAAUUAAUUAAUUACAACCAAAUUUCCUAGCAAAAACAGCGAGAAAAUAAGAUUGCGAUGAUGUUGCUGAAGCGCCCAACAGCUAGCCCAAUGCUGACCGCUUUCUAUUCGACGGUCAAGAAAGAGUCACUUUAAUCCCGAUUAAUACGUACAAAAAACGCGAUAAUCGUUCGUGUGUUACAAAAAAAUCAUCAAUAAUUAUCAUAUAAGUUUUUCUCAUUUUAUACAAUCAAUAUAUGUUAUAGUUUGAGCCGCGUGAAAUUGAAAUGUACAUACGUAUCUCCAUGUCUUCGGUGCGAAUAACGAAAUAUAUAUGCUACUCUUCUUGGGGAGCGACGAUAUAAUAAUAAAUAAUUCUAUAAAUAUUAAAAUAUCUGAUACUAAUUUACUUGCGUUUAAAAUUCUUAUAUAUAGGUAUGGUGUAUCGCAGCUUUAGGGUGCGUCCACAAUUGAGCGUAUACGUUAGGUUUACAAGGGAUUUACGUAGAACAUAACGUUUUGGGCAGUACUGCCAAUCCACUGUAGCAGACUGCAGUUGAAACGAAGGAACACACCUGCUCAAAAUUUAACCUAUAAAAAUGUUUAAAUUUGAAUUGUAUGGUAAUAAAUUGUAAAAUUCUUUUUUCAAAUAAAAUUAUAAAAUUUUGUAAGAGAA